rnacentral:rRNA from 1 species
GGAUGCGAUCAUACAAGCACUAAAGCACCGGAUCCCAUCAGAACUCCGAAGUUAAGCGUGCUUGGGCGAGAGUAGUACUAGGAUGGGUGACCUCCUGGGAAGUCCUCAUGUUGCAUUCC